CGGAGCGUAGCCUAGCGGCUCAGGCACUUGCUUUGGGGACAAGCUGACGUGAGUUCGAAUCUCACCGCUCCGACCA
rnacentral:tRNA from 1 species